rnacentral:misc_RNA from 1 species
GAUGAAAACGUAGCAAAAUGCGAUAAGUAAUGUGAAUUGCAGAAUUCAGUGAAUCAUCGAAUCUUUGAACGCACAUUGCGCCCGCUGGUAUUCCGGCGGGCAUGCCUGUUCGAGCGUCAUUUCAACCCUCAAGCCCCCGGGUUUGGUGUUGGGGAUCGGCUCUGCCCUUCUGGGCGGUGCCGCCCCCGAAAUACAUUGGCGGUCUCGCUGCAGCCUCCAUUGCGUAGUAGCUAACACCUCGCAACUGGAACGCGGCGCGGCCAUGCCGUAAAACCCCAACUUCUGAAUGUUGACCUCGGAUCAGGUAGGAAUACCCGCUGAACUUAAGCAUAUCAAUAAGCGGAGGA